rnacentral:rRNA from 1 species
CCUACGGGGGGCAGCAGUGGGGAAUAUUGCACAAUGGGGGAAACCCUGAUGCAGCGACGCCGCGUGAGUGAAGAAGUAUUUCGGUACGUAAAGCUCUAUCAGCAGGGAAGAAAAUGACGGUACCUGACUAAGAAGCCCCGGCUAACUACGUGCCAGCAGCCGCGGUAAUACGUAGGGGGCAAGCGUUAUCCGGAUUUACUGGGUGUAAAGGGAGCGUAGACGGCAGCGCAAGUCUGGAGUGAAAUCCCAUGGCUUAACCAUGGAACUGCUUUGGAAACUGUGCAGCUAGAGUGCAGGAGAGGUAAGCGGAAUUCCGAGUGUAGCGGUGAAAUGCGUAGAUAUUAGGAGGAACACCAGUGGCGAAGGCGGCUUACUGGACUGUAACUGACGUUGAGGCUCGAAAGCGUGGGGAGCAAACAGGAUUAGAUACCCCUGUAGUC